GCGGGAGUAGUACAGUGGUUAGUAUACGGCCUUGCCAAGGCUGUGACCCGAGUUCAAAUCUCGGCUCUCGCA
rnacentral:tRNA from 1 species